UAUGCACUUGUUGGCAGUGAACGACAAGUACGGUCAUACUGCUGUGUGCACAAUUAACCUAUUCAAUAUCUAGGUUACUGCAUUGCAUAAGGUACAGAGUCAGUGUCAUGUUACCUAUUGUCUACCCACUGACCGUUCACUGCUGAACAUAAGCCUUCACCAUAAAGGGGGUUUCAUCAGUAGAUGCACGCUUGGCAGGCAGUUUGGUAAGGGCAAUUAGGCUUUUAGAAAUGUUUUAGGAGGGAUACUGCUGACUAUCCCUCUACCAUUAAGUUCUUUUUGUCGCCUCUUACGACACGCACAAAAAGAAGCGAUGACCUAUUUUAUAAGC